GACGAAGGAUGCAAGCGUUAUCCGGAUUCAUCGGGUUUAAAGGGCGCGUAGGUGGCCUUAUAAGUCAGUGGUGAAAUCUCUGGGCUUAACCCAGAAAUUGCCAUUGAUACUGUAGGGCUUGAGUAUAGUUGCCGUUGGCGGAAUAUGACAUGUAGUGGUGAAAUACAUAGAGAUGUCAUAGAACACCGAUUGCGAAGGCAGCUGACGAAACUAUAACUGACACUGAGGCUCGAAAGUGCGGGGAUCAAACAGG
rnacentral:rRNA from 1 species